rnacentral:rRNA from 1 species
AAUGGGGGCAACCCUGAUCCAGCAAUCCCGCGUGAGUGAUGAAGGCCUUCGGGUUGUAAAGCUCUUUCAGCAGGGAAGAAGACUUGACGGUACCUGCAGAAGAAGCACCGGCUAACUCCGUGCCAGCAGCCGCGGUAAUACGGAGGGUGCAAGCGUUGUUCGGAAUCAUUGGGCGUAAAGCGCGUGUAGGCGGCCAAGUAAGUCUGAUGUGAAAGCCCGGGGCUCAACCCCGGAACUGCAUUGGAUACUGUUUGGCUAGAGGACGAGAGAGGGAAGUGGAAUUCCUGGUGUAGGGGUGAAAUCCGUAGAUAUCAGGAGGAACAUCGAAGGCGAAGGCAGCUUCCUGGCUCGUUUCUGACGCUGAGACGCGAAAGCGUGGGUAGCAAACAGGAUU